AUGGGGAGAAUUCGGUGAGGAGGAUGAGGUCGUUUAUAAGCGGGCAAACUGUUUGGGAAUCUGAUAAGGCAGAAACAGUCGAUAUCAUGCGGUAUUUAUUGAGCCAUGUAUGCCAUCCUCUUCUUACUUCAGUCAAGAACAGUGUUAUAGCUUCAGAACCUACUGAAGCGUCUGCCAGAAACCUGUUAAAUGAGUUGGUUAAUGCGAUUGGAAAUGUUCGACAAACAAAUUUUACAGUGCCGACUCUUAGACAAACCCCCUUGACACAGGAGCAGUUCUCAAGGCCUCCUGGGCAAAAU
rnacentral:misc_RNA from 1 species